GUGAAGCGACUUGCUCGUGGAGCUGAAAUCAGUCGAAGAUACCAGCUGGCUGCAACUGUUUAUUAAAAACACAGCACUGUGCAAACACGAAAGUGGACGUAUACGGUGUGACGCCUGCCCGGUGCCGGAAGGUUAAUUGAUGGGGUUAUCCGUAAGGAGAAGCUCUUGAUCGAAGCCCCGGUAAACGGCGGCCGUAACUAUAACGGUCCUAAGGUAGCGAAAUUCCUUGUCGGGUAAGUUCCGACCUGCACGAAUGGCGUAAUGAUGGCCAGGCUGUCUCCACCCGAGACUCAGUGAAAUUGAACUCGCUGUGAAGAUGCAGUGUACCCGCGGCAAGACGGAAAGACCCCGUGAACCUUUACUAUAGCUUGACACUGAACACUGGUCCUUGAUGUGUAGGAUAGGUGGGAGGCUUUGAAGUGUGGACGCCAGUCUGCAUGGAGCCAUCCUUGAAAUACCACCCUUUAAUGGCUGGUGUUCUAACGUGGGCCCGUAAUCCGGGUUGCGGACAGUGUCUGGUGGGUAGUUUGACUGGGGCGGUCUCCUCCUAAAGAGUAACGGAGGAGCACGAAGGUCAGCUAAUCCUGGUCGGACAUCAGGAGGUUAGUGCAAUGGCAUAAGCUGGCUUGACUGCGAGCGUGACGGCGCGAGCAGGUGCGAAAGCAGGUCAUAGUGAUCCGGUGGUUCUGAAUGGAAGGGCCAUCGCUCAACGGAUAAAAGGUACUCCGGGGAUAACAGGCUGAUACCGCCCAAGAGUUCAUAUCGACGGCGGUGUUUGGCACCUCGAUGUCGGCUCAUCACAUCCUGGGGCUGAAGUAGGUCCCAAGGGUAUGGCUGUUCGCCAUUUAAAGUGGUACGCGAGCUGGGUUUAGAACGUCGUGAGACAGUUCGGUCCCUAUCUGCCGUGGGCGCUGGAGAAUUGAGGGGGGCUGCUCCUAGUACGAGAGGACCGGAGUGGACGCAUCACUGGUGUUCGGGUUGUCAUGCCAAUGGCAUUGCCCGGUAGCUAAAUGCGGAAGAGAUAAGUGCUGAAAGCAUCUAAGCACGAAACUUGCCCCGAGAUGAGUUCUCCCUGACCCUUUAAGGGUCCUGAAGGAACGUUGAAGACGACGACGUUGAUAGGCCGGGUGUGUAAGCGCAGCGAUGCGUUGAGCUAACCGGUACUAAUGAACCGUGAGGCUUAACCUU
rnacentral:rRNA from 1 species